GUGUGUGUGUGGGUGUGUGUGUGUGUGUGUAAGAGGCAACUGGCUGGGGGCGUAACCGUAACGAAACGGCAGCUCCUCCAUUUGCCGUGUGUGUGUGCGUGCGUGCGUGCGUGUGUGGUGUGUGUGUAACUGUUUGAAACAGAACAAGCUAUUCUUAUUUAAUGUCUGUUAAUUUGAAGAUAUAUUUUAUAUGUAAUCUAUUUGCACAAUACUGUUAUGGUUGUUUAGUUGUUCGUAGAGCUGGAACAACCGCAGGAGAACAAUGAGUCUCAAGGCCGAUAUAAUUCCCGGUCACAUCAACAGCUUCAACUGACUCUGAGAACUUUCCAUAUGGAUUUGAAAGUGAAGAGCUGUGGUCGUAGGCGGUGUGCCAAACUUGUAUGGCUUUCCUAUUCAUGUCACACGCUGAAAAAGGCAAGAAAUCAGGUGGUUGUCACAGACUUUCCUGUCAACAGCUUUACUCCCUUCUACUUCUCACGAGUGAAAAGUUUCACAGCAAACACUAGAGGCAUACUGAAAUGAACCUGCUGCCAACUUGUACAGCUGUACCCAUCUUGUGAACUUUAUAAUUUUUUGCGGAAUUAAUUGUCGCACAUGUUCACAUUGAUUUCACUGUCGCUUUUGGAUUGUGUUCUCUGCUUGUCGGUAUUGUUGCCCCUUUCGCAAUUACGCUCUAGACAGGUUGUGUGUAAUUAUACAACG